rnacentral:antisense_RNA from 3 species
CUUGACCGAGCCGAGCCACAGCGGGCGGCCCUCGGGGCGUUCCUGGCCGUAGGUGGCCAGCAGCGCCUGGGCCUC